rnacentral:rRNA from 1 species
UACGUAGGGGGCAAGCGUUGUCCGGAUUUAUUGGGCGUAAAGAGCGUGUAGGCGGCCAGACAGGUCCGUUGUGAAAACUCGAGGCUCAACCUCGAGACGCCGAUGGAAACCCUCAGACUAGAGUCCGGAAGAGGAGAGUGGAAUUCCUGGUGUAGCGGUGAAAUGCGCAGAUAUCAGGAAGAACACCCGUGGCUAAGGCGGCUCUCUAGUACGUGACUGACGCUGAGACGCGAAAGCGUGGGGAGCGAACAGG